rnacentral:misc_RNA from 1 species
GACUCUCGGCAACGGAUAUCUUGGCUCUCGCAUCGAUGAAGAACGUAGCGAAAUGCGAUACUUGGUGUGAAUUGCAGAAUCCCGUGAAUCAUCGAGUCUUUGAACGCAAGUUGCGCCCUAGGCCGUCAGGCCGAGGGCACGCCUGCCUGGGCGUCACGCACCGAGUCGCCCCCACGCCCAGUGGGAGCGGACAAUGGCCCCCCGUGCCCCCGCGCGCGGCCGGCCCAAAAGAAGGCCCCGGGAGGCCGGCGUCACGAUCCGUGGUGGUUGUAAAAGACACGCCUUACAAUCGGAUCACGUGCGCGCCGGUCCUAACCCCCGGGCCACAGGGACCCCAAAGGGCCGUCCCCGGACGGCGCCCACUCU